AGGAUAUCCUUUUCCCGACUUAUGUUUUUGCAGGCUUUGUCAAAGAUCAGUGGGCUGGAAACCCCCAUGAGACUACAGGUGUGAAGCAAGAUAGAAGCAUCAGUGCAAAAGAGCAUCUUCAACCUUUCUGGACUACAGCACCUGCCAACUGACCCCCACAUCAUGGCUCCAACGCUGGCUUCAUCACAUAUCUUCUCUCUCAGUCCCUUUGGCUCUCAGGGUGCAAUAGCUUAACAAAAUUGCUGAUCUAGGUGCCUCAGCAUUGUUUCUUUGUCAUAGUCUCUGUAUUAUCUUAUUUUGAGCCAUUCUUUUCCUGCAAAGAUCCUAACUGAAUGAGAUAACUACUUCAUAAGCUAUUUGUAAGGUUUAAAU
rnacentral:lncRNA from 1 species